UAGUACUGUUUAUGGUAACAUAGGUAGAGACUUCUUAGAGGGACAUUUCGGGUUUACCGAAAGGAAGUUUGUGGCAAUAACAGGUCUGUGAUGCCCUUAGAUGUUCUGGGCCGCACGCGCGCUACACUGACGACUUCAACAAGUUUUUUGGCCUUGCCAAAUUUCCUUGGCCAGAAGGUCUGGGUAAUCUUUUAAAAGGUCGUCGUGAUGGGGCUAGAUUCUUGCAAUUAUUAAUCUCCAACGAGGAACC
rnacentral:rRNA from 1 species